rnacentral:rRNA from 1 species
GCACCGGGAUGGUCUAGCCAUGCGAGUCGUUGUAGCAAUACAAGGCAGACGGCUCAGUAACACGUAGUCAAUCUACCCUAUAGACGUGGAUAACCUCGGGAAACUGAGAAUAAUAUACGAUAGAUCAUAAUGCCUGGAAUGGUUUAUGAUUGAAAUGAUUUAUCGCUGUAGGAUGGGACUGCGGCCUAUCAGCUUGUUGGUGGGGUAAUGGCCCACCAAGACUAUUACAGGUACGGGCUCUGAGAGGAGUAGCCCGGAGAUGGGUACUGAGACACGGACCCAGGCCCUAUGGGGCGCAGCAGGCGAGAAAACUUUGCAAUGUGCGAAAGCACGACAAGGUUAAUCCGAGUGGUUCCUGCUAAAGGAACCUUUUGUCGGUCCUAGAAACACCGAUGAAUAAGGGGUGGGCAAGUUCUGGUGUCAGCCGCCGCGGUAAAACCAGCACCUCAAGUGGUCAGGAUGAUUAUUGGGCCUAAAGCAUCCGUAGCCGGCUCUGUAAGUUUUCGGUUAAAUCCAUGCGCUCAACGUAUGGGCUGCCGGGAAUACUGCAAAGCUAGGGAGUGGGAGAGGUAGACGGUACUCGGUAGGAAGGGGUAAAAUCCUUUGAUCUAUUGAUGACCACCUGUGGCGAAGGCGGUCUACCAGAACACGUCCGACGGUGAGGGAUGAAAGCUGGGGGAGCAAACCGGAUUAGAUACCCGGGUAGUCCCAGCUGUAAACUAUGCAAACUCAGUGAUGCAUUGGCUUGAUGCCAAUGCAGUGCUGCAGGGAAGCCGUUAAGUUUGCCGCCUGGGGAAGUACGUACGCAAGUAUGAAACUUAAAGGAAUUGGCGGGGGAGCACCACAAAGGGUGAAGCCUGCGGUUCAAUUGGAGUCAACGCCGGGA